rnacentral:rRNA from 1 species
CCUACGGGUGGCAGCAGUAGGGAAUAUUGCUCAAUGGUGGAAACCCUGAAGCAGCAACGCCGCGUGGAGGAUGAAGGUUUUAGGAUUGUACACUCCUUUUGUGAGAGAAGAUAAUGACGGUAUCUCACGAAUAAGCACCGGCUAACUCCGUGCCAGCAGCCGCGGUAAUACGGAGGAGGCAAGCGUUAUUCGGAAUAACUGGGAGUAAAGAGUGCGUAGGCGGGCUGGUAAGUCAGAUGUGAAGUCCUGUAGCUUAACUAUAGAACUGCAUUUGAAACUCUGAGUCUUGAGUGUGGGAGAGGUAGGUGGAAUUCUUGGUGUAGGGGUAAAAUCCGUAGAUAUCAAGAGGAAUACUAAUUGCGAAGGCGACCUACUGGAAAAUUACUGACGCUGAUGCACGAAAGCGUGGGGAGCAAACAGGAUUAGAUACCCCAGUAGUC